rnacentral:rRNA from 1 species
GAUGAACGCUGGCGGCGUGCUUAACACAUGCAAGUCGAACGAUGAAGCCCAGCUUGCUGGGUGGAUUAGUGGCGAACGGGUGAGUAACACGUGAGUAACCUGCCCUUAACUCUGGGAUAAGCCUGGGAAACUGGGUCUAAUACCGGAUAGGAGCGUCCACCGCAUGGUGGGUGUUGGAAAGAUUUAUCGGUUUUGGAUGGACUCGCGGCCUAUCAGCUUGUUGGUGAGGUAAUGGCUCACCAAGGCGACGACGGGUAGCCGGCCUGAGAGGGUGACCGUCCACACUGGGACUGAGACACGGCCCAGACUCCUACGGGAGGCAGCAGUGGGGAAUAUUGCACAAUGGGCGCAAGCCUGAUGCAGCGACGCCGCGUGAGGGAUGACGGCCUUCGGGUUGUAAACCUCUUUCAGUAGGGAAGAAGCGAAAGUGACGGUACCUGCAGAAGAAGCACCGGCUAACUACGUG